AUGACCUCUGCCAUUUUUGGCUCCAGGAGCAGCAAUCUUGGUCAGGAAGUGCUGAUAAAACUCAAGGCGGAUUACACGCUGGUGGAACAAUUGUAUACUGGUGCUCAACGUACAAUAGCCACCAUAUCACGAACCAAUCAAGCACCAUCCCUUCUCAGUGAUGUUCUAAGCAAACUUUCUGUCCUGCCCGCAAGGAUUGAAGAAAUAAAGCGGCCAGUUGCGAGAGCCGGUGCCAUUACGGCUUUAAGCCGGGCGAAGGCAUGGCAGGAAGAAUUAGACCCGGCCGAGCUAGCUACUAGCUUCCCCAGCUUCAAAGAGGACGGGUCUCCCUUUGAUAAGAAGGAUUUUGCUGCUUGUGUGAAAGAGAUGCGUCCAUUGGCAAGCCUUAUUGCUGAAGAAACAUAUCUGUCAAGGUAUCAGGCGACUUAUACAGCGGACAAUCAGAAAAUGCCAACACAGGCUUACGAAAUUGUGGACCUCAUCCCUCCAAUCCAUAAGCAUACUUUCGCCCCUGCAAUCGAUCCGUCUGAGCUUAUCGAUGACGAAGCUGAAUUUCAAGCCUUGACUGGCAUCAAUUGGUCAUCGCCUAACUUCCAGACGAUGGAUGAAGAAGAAGAACCCGUGCAGGAUGACCUGGAAGCCUCAAGUCUCCAAGACCAGGAAAAUUGA
rnacentral:rRNA from 1 species